rnacentral:rRNA from 1 species
AUGCAAGUCGAACGGCAGCACGGGUGCUUGCACCUGGUGGCGAGUGGCGAACGGGUGAGUAAUACAUCGGAACGUACCUUAUCGUGGGGGAUAACGCAGCGAAAGCUGUGCUAAUACCGCAUACGCCCUGAGGGGGAAAGCGGGGGAUCGAAAGACCUCGCGCGAUUAGAGCGGCCGAUGCCUGAUUAGCUUGUUGGUGGGGUAAAAGCCCACCAAGGCGACGAUCAGUAGCUGGUCUGAGAGGACGAUCAGCCACACUGGGACUGAGACACGGCCCAGACUCCUACGGGAGGCAGCAGUGGGGAAUUUUGGACAAUGGGGGAAACCCUGAUCCAGCAAUGCCGCGUGAGUGAAGAAGGCCUUCGGGUUGUAAAGCUCUUUUGUCAGGGAAGAAACACCGGCUCUAACACAGUCCGGGAAUGACGGUACCUGAAGAAUAAGCACCGGCUAACUACGUGCCAGCAGCCGCGGUAAUACGUAGGGUGCGAGCGUUAAUCGGAAUUACUGGGCGUAAAGCGUGCGCAGGCGGUUAUACAAGACAGGCGUGAAAUCCCCGGGCUUAACCUGGGAAUGGCGCCUGUGACUGUAUAGCUAGAGUGUGUCAGAGGGGGGUAGAAUUCCACGUGUAGCAGUGAAAUGCGUAGAUAUGUGGAGGAAUACCAAUGGCGAAGGCAGCCCCCUGGGAUAACACUGACGCUCAUGCACG